rnacentral:rRNA from 1 species
GUGAGGAAUAUUGGUCAAUGGGCGAGAGCCUGAACCAGCCAAGUCGCGUGAAGGAUGAAGGUUUUAUGAAUUGUAAACUUCUUUUGCAGGGGAAUAAAGUACGGUACGUGUACCGUUUUGUAUGUACUCUGCGAAUAAGGAUCGGCUAACUCCGUGCCAGCAGCCGCGGUAAUACGGAGGAUCCAAGCGUUAUCCGGAUUUAUUGGGUUUAAAGGGUGCGCAGGCGGGUUGAUAAGUCAGCGGUGAAAGUUUGCAGCUUAACUGUAAAAUUGCCGUUGAAACUGUCGAUCUUGAGUGCAAAUGAGGUAAGCGGAAUGUGUUGUGAAGCGGUGAAAUGCUUAGAUAUAACACAGAACACCGAUUGCGAAGGCAGCUUACUGGGAUGCAACUGACGCUCAUGCACGAAAGCGUGGGGAUCAAACAGGAUUAGAAACCCCGGUAGUCC